rnacentral:rRNA from 1 species
UACGUAGGGUGCAAGCGUUAAUCGGAAUUACUGGGCGUAAAGCGUGCGCAGGCGGUUGUGCAAGACAGAUGUGAAAUCCCCGGGCUCAACCUGGGAAUUGCAUUUGUGACUGCACGGCUAGAGUGUGUCAGAGGGGGGUAGAAUUCCACGUGUAGCAGUGAAAUGCGUAGAGAUGUGGGGGAAUACCGAUGGCGAAGGCAGCCCCCUGGGAUAACACUGACGCUCAUGCACGAAAGCGUGGGGAGCAAACAGG